GAUGUAGAACGCAGCGAACGUGCGAAACGUAAUGUGAAUUGCAGAAUUCAGUGAAUCAUCGAAUCUUUGAACGCAUCUUGCGCUCCUUGGUAUUCCGAGGAGCAUGCCUGUUUGAGUGUCGUGAAUACUCUCAACUUCAACCCUUUUUUCGGAAAGGGAGGAAGGUUGGACUUGGGUGUUUGUUGAAGUGCGAGCUUCGACUCAUCCUAAAUGCAUUAGCGAUCUGCCUCGAUCACACACAAUGUGAUAAUUAAAACUAAAGCAUUGUUUAAUGAUCAAGUCGAGACUGCUUCUAACUGUCGCAAGACAAUAACGUGCAUACAUUUGUGCAUGUCAUUUGACCUCAAAUCAGGUAGGACUACCCGCUGAACUUAAGCAUAUCAAUAAGCGGAGGA
rnacentral:misc_RNA from 1 species